AGAUGUGAGGGCAAUCUGUCUGUGACAUCUAUAAGCCCACAGAUCAUCAGAGCUGAUUCAGCUGAUCUGGCUAGCUAGGCCGGUGGCCCCUUUCCUCCCUUACCACUCUACAUGUGUCCUUCCCAAAGCUCUGCAUUCAGUUGAAGAGGUUGACCUUCUCCAAAGACAGGAGGACUUGUCUUCAGUCAAAGGUAUAUGAGUAGCUGCACUCCCCUGCUAAAACUUCCAAACAAACUCUCAAGAAGUAGGUGUCUAAGAUUAUUUUCUAUAAAGCACAGUGCUUUUAGGACCUCUAGUAAGUGUUCAGGAGCUCCUAAAG
rnacentral:snRNA from 1 species